rnacentral:rRNA from 1 species
AGUAGGGAAUCUUCCGGCAAAUGGGGGCAACCCUGACCGAGCAACGCCGCGUGAGUGAAGAAGGUUUUCGGAUCGUAAAGCUCUGUUGUAAGAGAAGAACGAGUGUGAGAGUGGAAAGUUCACACUGUGACGGUAACUUACCAGAAAGGGACGGCUAACUACGUGCCAGCAGCCGCGGUAAUACGUAGGUCCCGAGCGUUAUCCGGAUUUAUUGGGCGUAAAGCGAGCGCAGGCGGUUAGAUAAGUCUGAAGUUAAAGGCUGUGGCUUAACCAUAGUACGCUUUGGAAACUGUUUAACUUGAGUGCAGAAGGGGAGAGUGGAAUUCCAUGUGUAGCGGUGAAAUGCGUAGAUAUAUGGAGGAACACCGGUGGCGAAAGCGGCUCUCUGGUCUGUAACUGACGCUGAGGCUCGAAAGCGUGGGGAGCAAACAGGAUUAGAUACCCUGGUAGUCCACGCCGUAAACGAUGAGUGCUAGGUGUUGGGUCCUUUCCGGGACUCAGUGCCGCAGCUAACGCAUUAAGCACUCCGCCUGGGGAGUACGACCGCAAGGUUG